GAAAGUCUUGCUCUGCAUCUUUUAGUGAAAAAAAUUGGUCAGAACUCUACUACCAUCUAAGCAAAAGAAGGCAUUUGGUCUACUCUAUAAGGAAAUGGCAUAGCAAGAUCAUGGAGCUGCACACAUAACACCCAUUAAAGAGAGCAAAGAAUGUUUCUUGAUUUUCAGGAGAAUAGCAACACUUUGUUAUGGCAAAGUGGAGUAAAAAAUGUUACCUUCCUCCAUAGAGAACAAACCCAAGGGCUCCAAAUAGUGAUACACCUAAAAAGCAUAGCACACUAUUAGAUGAAAAGGUCAAUAAGCUGAAAAAAGUCUAUUGCAGCUUUAAAUGUUGUGUGUUCUUCAGGUCAUUCACUGCCAAUAAGGCAAUAACAGAUACCACGAAUCAAUGUUUUACAAAGGUUGUUUCUAAAUUUACUUUUGAUAAAAUUUCUACCAAUAAAAAAUUCAUUGGGUCAUCAAUAUAAUUCUCCUACAUUAGAACAAAACUAACCGCACUUCAUAAAUGGCAAGAUGAGAAAUGAAU
rnacentral:lncRNA from 1 species